rnacentral:misc_RNA from 1 species
AAAACUUAAUAGGGAGGUUGAUCAUGACCUGCAGAUGCCCCUAUCGAUUUUGAGGUUAGACUUUGACAUUGGCUUACUUCUGUGACAAGGCCGUAUUGUUGGGUUAUAAUUCGUCGCUCCUGUGGCAGCUCUAGUUAUAUUUACAAAUACUGUUGAUUGGUAGGAUUAGAACGAAAAACAAGUCUCAAAGAGUUCUUCCUCUAUAAUUUAUUAGAAGUAUCUAAUGAAUGUAUGUAUGAAGUGCAUUUAAUUUGCUGUAAAAAUUGUAGCGUUUUUACUAUAUUAAUGAACUAAUCUUACCCAAAUUAAUUUUGCCACCUAGUAUGUCAACAAGUCACGUCAGGUAUGUCAUCAAUGAUUUAAUUCCAUCGAUUUUGCAUUUCAGUAGACAUUUAUCGUACGUCAUAAUUCUAAUUUUAAAACUAAUUUUGACAUACAUUUUCGUCUCAUAUUAAUAAACGCAUGCAUGCAUAUCAGUUUUGACCACUGGACAAUCAACUUUUAUUGUAUAUUGUUUAUCGGUAUUCCUAGUCUUUUGUACAGUUCCAUUUGUUUUAGUAUUGGACCUUUGUGUGUCCAAUUUUGUGAUGUUGUUUUUUUUUUUGUUUAAGAGCGGCUGUUUCAGUUUUUGUUAUCAUUGUCAUGACAUAUAUAAACUGCACAGGCUUAGAGACGCAAAAUAUAAAAAUACAUGAUAACCAUUUCUUAUUUCUAUUUUACCUAUAUGGAACUUAAUUCAGAACGUUUGUCGGUAUAUCAUCGACGUCGGGUUCAGAACUUGGUCAUAUGUGGUAAAAUGGUAAAAAGUCAAGUCAUAGAAAAGCUAAUUUAACACUAGAGUUCACAAUUGUUACUUGGACGUCCUAAAACUUUCUUGUCAAUUUCGAGUGUUUUAUUCAUAUAACUUUGCACAAACAGUUAAGAUAACAAGACUGGUCGCAUGCGAGUCUAAUUUUCCUCAAAAAUCAAGAAUAAUUCUCUCAGUUACAAUGCAGUACAAAUAAAACAUAUCAAUCAUUCGCUUUUUUGUACAGAUUAAAGUUGAUAACAAGCAUCAUUUGUGGAAAAAUAUCAAUACUUUUUAACAAUUUGUUGUAAACACAGGUAAAAAAAUUACCUGGACUUCAUAACACGUGAUUUCACGAUAGAAUCGCGAUUUUAGUCUGAAUACAUUUGUUGUAUUUAUAUUCCUUGUACGGCUCGGAAAAGACAAAAAGAACAUAUAUUGUAGUGCCCUAGAAAUGGAUUGACCAUGAUUUUACCAUUUGUGUUUACAUUAGAUGUCAGUGUCAUUUAGAAUAUGUACAUGUACGAUACAUGACCGGUGCUUUCUAAUAAAGAGGAUUUUAUCGAUUGUAAAUGAUAUUUCACAGUUAAUGUGGCAGUCACCUUUAUUUCCAUGUUUGGUACUGAUUUAAAUCAAUACUUGUGCAUGUCAACUCUUUUUAAGUUUUUAUUGAUGUAAAUCCUGUUUGUUUUUACUACACAUGUUGUUGUUUUAAUACUGCCUGCCAUUGCCGCUUUGCAUUGUGGGAAGUGACGUCAUAAAGGUCAUAGAUCUACUUGUUUUAUGUCAGAAUUCUAGCAAUUUUUCAACUUCAGACCAGUCUUCUACAAUAGUUGUACAAGGAUCGGAGAAAGCAAUGUAAGGAUCAUGUAAUUUAAUCUUCAUUCUGUUGAUUCGUAGUAAUUUUUUGUCAUUUAGAUAGAACUUAAUAGUUUAAUUGUUGUUUAAAGUGAGGACAUGCAUGUUUUUAUCCGUCAUAUGAUUUGUGACGGAUUCCCGCAGCUUGCAGGGAUCCGGCGGAUUGGUUUUCCCUCACUUUUUCUUGUGCGAUUGCCGGAUUUUGGGAGAGUAUAUUCGAAGACUUCGACCUCUUUGGCUUUAGAGUAAACAUAGAUUUUUUCAUUAUUUUUAAGUAAACUUGGAUUAGGAUAGGCAUUUGUUAGUUUAAGUGCAUUCAGUUUGGACACUUUCGAGAGGUGAAGUUUUGCUGUGAUCAAAAUUAGUAUUUAAACCUUGUAGACUCUUUAUAUUAAUUUUUCACAAUGUUUUAAUAACUUCAAAUCCAUAUUUUAUGCAUUUGUUCCAUUAAUUUAUUGAUAUAUGCUCAUUCGUUAUUUAUUAUCCUGAGAGAUACUUUGUUAAGGGAAUUUAUUAACAUAAAUUUUGUUUUAAAUUGAAAUGGAUCUUAGUCUUUUGUUAAAGUUUAUUUAAAGAUACUCCCCUCCCCCCACCCCCGCUUUAUUUUAUCGAAGUCCAUCCUUGGUUAAGUAUUGUGUUCAUACAUUUAUGUCCGUCCGUCUGACUGGUGACAUAGUUACCGGAGUAGUGGAGUCAAGUAAGUCCAGCCUUGUUGCUGAAUUAUUGCGAUUGUGAUUUGUCCAUCCGUCUGUCUCAUCAUUGUAACGCGGUCAUCUCGUGGAGCUCACCGGAGCGCUACAACAUGGACAAACGAGCUAUUUGCUUCCUGGUUUUACUUGACAUUGACUCUUUCUGAAGGCAUUGAAUGUUUAAAGCGUCCUAAAGGUAAGACACCAUCUCAUAUCGCUAUUAAAUUUGUAAAACUUAUAAAUAUUUGUGACACAGUUCAAUAUUUAGGACAGGUGGUAGAGAAAUAAGAUUGUAUAAAAUGUUUAUCAAAGGGAUACUGCACUGAAGAUAAAUGAGAAAGCAUGUUACCAUCUUCACUUCGUUUGUUAGUUCUGAAAAGACAUAUAAAUCUUCAUAGAAAGACUUGUUUUGGUAAGGGUGAUAAUGGAUUCAGCAUGACAGUUGCACCUUCUGUUGGUAUGAUUGAUGAAAAAGUUAGAAUUCUACUAUGCGGACUUGAUGCCAAGCAAAUCGUGACACUUAUUGCAGAUGUAACAGAAAACGGAAUGAAGUUCGAAUCCCGUUGUGUUUAUCAAGCCGAUACAAAUGGAAAUGUAGACAACUUUACUGACGAGUCCAUUGGUGGUAGCUUUGUAGGAAUAGAACCUAUGGGUUUAUUUUGGAGUCUAAAUUGUAUCUCCGGACCCCAACGAUCUGCUCGACUGGUAAAGAAAGACGUGUGUACGCCAAUGAUCUUCGAUAUAAGGGUGUUUGCCGGGACACAAACUGACUCUAACAUUUCUGUUCCACCUUUGGUUUUGACCAGAUUACAGAGACUAUACAAACAUCCAGGCGUGAGGAGAAUACCCCUAACAGGGAGAUUCAAGGGAACAAUUUUUCUACCAGAAGGAGACGGGCCUUUCCCAGGUUUAAUUGACAUGUUUGGAGGUAUUGUCAGUUUAAUUGAGACACGAGCCGCUCUUCUAGCAUCGCAUGGAUACGCUACCAUGGCAUUAUCGUACUUAUACGGAGAGGGACUUCCACAAAUGCUUAUGAGUACCGAUUUUAGCUAUAUAAAGGAAGCGUGUGAGUGGUUUAUGGAACAAGAUUUCAUUGACAAAAGUCGUCUUGGUGCGGUCGGAUUGUGUUUUGGAGGCUUUCUUUCGCUCGCUUUGGCAUCUGUAUUGCCUCAGAUUGGAGGCGUGGUGAAUGUUAAUGGCGUUACAGUGACAGCUGAAGAAAACUGCAUUGUGAAUCACCGGCUUGGCCUGGCAACAUGGUGCAAAGAUUUUAGUGAUUGUGGGCGAAGACGACAAACAGGUUCAUCCAAAGUGGCACACAUUUUUCUACGAGCAAUGUCCUUCUCAUUUCAAAAAAAAAUAUCCAGAUCAACCGAUAUCCGGGAGCCGGGCAUAUGAUCGAGCCUCCAUACUCGCCACACUCAAGGGUGGUCACUCCAGGACGGAAACGAAUGAAAUCAAUUAAUUUUAUAUCAGAAAAAUUUUAUGAUGCAGAUAUGGUUGUAGGCGGAUGGCCUGAUAAACACGCAUUUGCUCAGGAAGAUUCUUGGAAUAAAAUAUUGACAUUUUUAGAACAAAAUGUGAAAAACCCAAGCUGAAAGACCAGAAUGAUGCCGACAAAACAUGCUUCAUUACGUUGUGUGUAUGAAAUCCAAAUGACCUUAAAGCGCCACGGAGAAGUCAUGUUAUAUAUUGAAAUUGUAAAUACUUUUGUAACAACUGGUUGUAAAUUUGCCAGAAUAAUGUAUGCACAUAUUGACAUAAGAUGUCUGUACGAGAUUAUCUACAUAAUAUAAUAAAGUACAAAAUCACAUUUUACCAUAGCUCGAUUUUUGUCAAUUAAUGAAUCGAAGGAGAAAAGCAAACGUUGUACAUUCUGCGAUAAACAACGGUCUACGCGCGAACCUGUGAGUAGAAAUUAUGACAUUAAUUAUGACGUCAAUAGUCGCAUGACUUCAAGUGCAUUACUAACCAGAUGAAUGAAGUUCAGCACAGGUUUUAUCAUGUAUUGAGAAUGAAAAUAAUCAACGCCUUCUUGUGAUUUAUAUUCUGAUUUACCAUGGUCCGUCGUUCAGAUCCCAGAUGUACAGUUUCGUUUGUAAAGCAAUGGUCCUUUCAUGUUUAGUUACUUAAGCUUACACUUUGAUGUGUGUGUGUCGAACUCCUCGAGCAUAUUGUUCAAAAUGUUACUAUUUCUGAACCUCAUAUCUCCAAAGCCGAGAUGAUGAAAGUCGAAAACACGAUGGCGAAAGUCGAAAUCACGAUAGUGAAAACUCGAAACUAUGAUGGUGAAAGUCGAACUCACGAAACCACGAUGAUAAAAACACGCUUUUAUUUCGCGUUUUCACCAUCGUGAUUUCCUGAUUUUAUCAUCGUGCUUUCGACUUUCGACAUUCGUCAUCGUAAUUUCGACUUUCGACAUCGUAGUUUCGACUUUCAUCAUCGUGGUUUUGACGUUCACCAUCGUAGUUUCGUGAUUUCGAAAGGUAUGGGGUUCAGGAAAAGAGUAGUCGAAACUAGUUUCGUGAUUUCGA